rnacentral:rRNA from 1 species
CCUAACACAUGCAAGUCGAACGGUAACAGGAAGAAGCUUGCUUCUUUGCUGACGAGUGGCGGACGGGUGAGUGAUGUCUGGGAAACUGCCUGAUGGAGGGGGAUAACUACUGGAAACGGUAGCUAAUACCGCAUAACGUCGCAAGACCAAAGAGGGGGACCUUCGGGCCUCUUGCCAUCGGAUGUGCCCAGAUGGGAUUAGCUAGUAGGUGGGGUAACGGCUCACCUAGGCGACGAUCCCUAGCUGGUCUGAGAGGAUGACCAGCCACACUGGAACUGAGACACGGUCCAGACUCCUACGGGAGGCAGCAGUGGGGAAUAUUGCACAAUGGGCGCAAGCCUGAUGCAGCCAUGCCGCGUGUAUGAAGAAGGCCUUCGGGUUGUAAAGUACUUUCAGCGGGGAGGAAGGGAGUAAAGUUAAUACCUUUGCUCAUUGACGUUACCCGCAGAAGAAGCACCGGCUAACUCCGUGCCAGCAGCCGCGGUAAUACGGAGGGUGCAAGCGUUAAUCGGAAUUACUGGGCGUAAAGCGCACGCAGGCGGU